UGGGGAAUCUUCCGCAAUGGACGAAAGUCUGACGGAGCAACGCCGCGUGAGUGAUGACGGCCUUCGGGUUGUAAAGCUCUGUUAAUCGGGACGAAAGGCCUUCUUGCGAACAGUUAGAAGGAUUGACGGUACCGGAAUAGAAAGCCACGGCUAACUACGUGCCAGCAGCCGCGGUAAUACGUAGGUGGCAAGCGUUGUCCGGAAUUAUUGGGCGUAAAGCGCGCGCAGGCGGAUCAGUCAGUCUGUCUUAAAAGUUCGGGGCUUAACCCCGUGAUGGGAUGGAAACUGCUGAUCUAGAGUAUCGGAGAGGAAAGUGGAAUUCCUAGUGUAGCGGUGAAAUGCGUAGAUAUUAGGAAGAACACCAGUGGCGAAGGCGACUUUCUGGACGAAAACUGACGCUGAGGCGCGAAAGCCAGGGGAGCGAACGGG
rnacentral:rRNA from 1 species